rnacentral:rRNA from 1 species
CCUACGGGCGGCAGCAGUGAGGAAUAUUUGGCAAUGGAGGCAACCCUGACCCAGCAAUGCCGCGUGAGUGAAGAAGGUCUUCGGAUUGUAAAGCUCUUUCGGACGUGACGAUGAUGACGGUAACGUCUAAAGAAGCACCUGCAAACUUCGGGCCAGCAGCCGCGGUAAUACGAAGGGUGCGAGCGUUGUUCGGACUUACUGGGCGUAACGGGAGUGUAGGCGGUUAUGUAAGAUAGCGGUGAAAUGCCGGGGCUCAACCGCGGAAGGUCAAUUAUGGCUCGGUAUCUAGAGUACAGUAGAGGAUAGUGGAAUACCCAGUGUAGAGGUGAAAUUCGUAGAUAUAUGGUAGAACACCGGUGGCGAAGGCGGCUAUCUGGUCAGUAACUGACGCUGAGGCUCGAAAGCAUGGGGAGCAAACAGGAUUAGAUACCCCAGUAGUC